rnacentral:piRNA from 1 species
UAGAGUGUCUACCUUUAUUUUCUUACUGU